GAUGAACGCUGGCGGCGUGCCUAACACAUGCAAGUCGAACGAAGCACCUUACCUGAUUCUUCGGAUGAAAGUUUGGUGACUGAGUGGCGGACGGGUGAGUAACGCGUGGGUAACCUGCCCUGUACAGGGGGAUAACAGCUGGAAACGGCUGCUAAUACCGCAUAAGCGCACGAGGAGACAUCUCCUUGUGUGAAAAACUCCGGUGGUACAGGAUGGGCCCGCUUCUGAUUAGCUGGUUGGCAGUGUAACGGCCUACCAAGGCAACGAUCAGUAGCCGGUCUGAGAGGAUGAACGGCCACAUUGGAACUGAGACACGGUCCAAACUGCUACGGGAGGGAGCAGUGGGGAAUAUUGCACAAUGGGGGAAACCCUGAUGCAGCAACGCCGCGUGAGUGAAGAAGUAUUUCGGUAUGUAAAGCUCUAUCAGCAGGGAAGAUAAUGACGGUACCUGACUAAGAAGCUCCGGCUAAAUACGUG
rnacentral:rRNA from 1 species